rnacentral:miRNA from 1 species
AUGAUGAUGAUGAUGAUGAUGACUCUAUGCUGCCAUGCUAAUGAAGUCGGUGAGUCUUUCCUCCUCAUGCUAUCAUCAUCAUCAUCAUCAUCAUCAUCA